GAAAAUUAUCAGUAAAUUUUAAGUUAUUCAACUACUAUUACCCAUUUAAAAGAAGAAAAUCGACCCAGUUUAUUAAACAUGUUGAAUCGUUAUAUUUUCGUUCUUCUUUUCGUCGGAGUCAUCGUUUGCCAGCUUCUAGUUUCCAACGUAGAAGCAGGCGAUGAUGGAAAGCCCGCACCAAAACUGCAGAAAAGCGAUUCACUGGUGAAGAGAAUUGUAAAAGGAGCGAAACAUUUGGCCCGUAUGCCUUCACAAAAAGAAGUAGAGGAAUAUCAUGCAAUUAAACCAAUUGAUCAAACUGUCGAUUACAUGAGUGACAAAUUAGGCGUAAAUUUAAAGAUAUUUGAUGAUUAUCAUUACUAGAAAAUAUCAACGAAUCUGUCUAAAAUGACACAAAUAAAAUAAACUUUGUUACGUAAAUUAAAUUUAAA